CCCAGAGGAACAGACAGUUUGGCAUGAAUUCAGUUAUUUCCAAACAAAACCUCACGUUAUUUUAUGCUAUACAUGUUCAAUAAAGACUAAUGUAUUAAAUAUGUAUUCAUUAUAAUUAUAUUUAUAGUUAUUUAAGAGAUGAUUAAGAUAUUUUGAUACUUAAGUAAUAGCUUACAACAGGCCAUAGUAUGUUGUGAUAAAGGCACAACAUAUAGCAGGGCAGAUAAUGUUAGCCUAGCACAGACUUUUUGCACAGACUAUUUCUUUUACAUAAAGCUAAUGAAAAGGCACACAAUAACAAAAACUAACUUAACAAUCGAGACAGAACUAGACAAGCAACUAACUACUGGCGGCAGUGGUAGAAGAGCAACUCCUGUUUUCUGCUAGAUUAAAAUUGCUGUGUUUAUCAAUGAAGAAGGCUUUUAAGAGAGCAUAGACAACAACUUCAAUUCCUUUUAGUAAAGGGCUGUCUGAUGGCAAAAUAAAGCGGCGAAAAAAUUCUAAAUAUAUACAGUAUAUAGAUACUUCGCCAACCAACUCUGUUUCAUGGCAGUGUGUGUGCAGAUGAACAGCUUUUGUCCGUUGCACCAGCUAUCAGUUUGUGUAAUGUUGUAUCUCAAACUUGGAGUGAUACUUGUUGUUCAAAGGAAUUCUAAUUAUAGCUUUUGUAUGUGGUUGUUAUUAUAUCACUGUUAUGAACCAGAACAAAUCAGUUUGCUUGAUUUGAGCAACCUUUUUAUAUUAUGGUUUUGAUAGUUUAGUUAUGCCAUCUCAUUGCUGGACUACCAUACCUGAUAUUCAAGCUCAUUUGAAGGUUUGGUGCAGUUCAGCUUUAUUGCUUGCCAUCCAUUCUCCCUUUUUUCCCCACCAUGGAUACUUCUGAUGUUGCUUCAGAUCUGCAUCUUAUCCCUACAUUUCAUUUACAUAUAGAUAAUAUAGUAUAAGCUAACAAUGAUGAAUACAUUGUUACUUUUGUAAUUAACUUUAAAAAAGCUGUAAGGCCUAAAGAGAACUAUGAAUACAAUUCUGAAAACUUUAAGCUCAUGUAUUAAUAACAAUACUCCAAACCAUAUAAUUUCUAUGGUUCAGACUGCUUAAAGCUGCUUACACAUAAAAGCCGGCAAAAUCGCUCUGCGCGGGCCAAUCCAUUGAGAGCAGUGCCGCCCAACUAGGCACUGCGCUACCCCUGGCAUCAUGCACCUCUCAGAAUUGCCGAAUUGCUCGCUUGCUCUCAGCACAAUUACAUUUUUUUCACUCAAAUUCUAAAUCAAACAGGACAUCUUAAAGGCCCCUUUCAGUGUAUUUUGACAUAUUUAUGGUAUUUCAUAUUUUUUGAGUCAUUUUCAUGACAAUUUUGAGUAACAAGUGAGAGGCAGUUUCUGUGUUGUUCUAAUAAUUGUCUCAUUUGUGGUCUGAUAAACACUGACUUUAUCAAAUUGGAAGUUUCUAAUAUAUUAUAGAAGAGUUUAGACCAAAGAUUGGCGACGAGACACAACUGUUUUAGAACAUUGCAGUUUCAGCAGUCUAAACUGGCUCAUCUCAGCUGGACACAAACCGGCUAAUGGUGUUGCUGCGACUCAGCUGGUCAAGUCUCCAGAGGCUGGUUUUAAAACGUUAGAGACGUCUUCUGUUUCAACAGAAGUCAGCUGGUUGAGUGAGCUUACAAACUAUAGAAAUAAAAUGAUCCAUAAUGCAUUUAUUUCUGUUACAAACUCUCAGCUGGUGGAAAUGGCAGUUUUAGACAGUGGCUCAACGAGCGCUGCAACCAGGGUUUGUGGUGGAGCGAGUUAGAGAGAGAUUGAAGAGAGGGAGCUGCGUUAGAACAAAGUUGAGAAUCAGAGAACUACAAUAUAUGAAAUAUAUUUUGAUGAAUGUUAUGAACAUGUAAGAUAAAAAUAUGUAUAUUUAUUAUUAAUUAAUUUUGUAUUGAUGGGGAGAAAAAUUUAUUAAUUUAGUAUAAAAACAACCCAAUAAUAAUGAAGAAAUUAAUUUCAAAUAAUGCCAAAUAUUUGUCUGCUUAUAUGCUAAAAACUUUCAGUGUUUGUAGCGUAUGGUUUAAAUUGUAGUCUUAAAUUGAGCUAAUGUUACCACAUUUAAAAGAAAACACUGUUACACACAAUCUGUCAUGUUCAAGUCCCCAUCCUGACCACGCCCACCCCCCACUCUGGCCAUGCCUUUACCAUGUGGCAAACAUGAGGUGUGUUUGCCUGCGUGUCCAGGCCCUCCCCUUACAUUAGGUGAGUUUGGCGUGGUGUGAACUCAAAUAUCAACUGAACGGAUAAGAGCACGCUGACAUGCACAAGCAUCUAUACCAGGGGUGGCCAACCAGUUCAGAAUAAAGAGCCACAAUAAAACACGCACCAGCAGCAAAAAGCCACACAACACAUGCAGGUCCACAUUACAACAGCAACCAUGACUUCCAUAUCUAAUGAAAGUCAUAAUACAUAGCAGUUUUCAUAGUUUUUUUUUUCUUACUUAGAUGGACUCAGUGGGAAACCUGACAGUCUUUGUUACCCACAAUCCUUUUUAGGUCUGAUUGUACUCGGUUGUGGCCACUCUUUCACUCAUUUGUCACUAGAGGGGCUUUCAAACAAUCUGACUCAGCAGUGAAAGGGUUAAUAUUGAGGAAGGUGAUCUGGGGCUGCUUUGUUUUCCUCAGGCUGCAGAAUCUGUCCAUAAAAAAACUCUGCUGCGUUAUUUUUUAUUUUAAAAUAAUUGUCAGAUGCAUUCAAGUGCUUUUUUUUAACCAAUCUGAAAUGUUUCAAAAAGUUUAAAAAAAAAAAAAAUCCACCAAUAACACAGCCACACAGUAAGAGCCUCAAAGGAGAAGGCACAGAGCCGCAUACGGCUCAAGAGCCACAGGUUCGCCACCCCUGAUCUAUACAGAUAUUUUGAUGAAUGUUAUGAACAUGUAAGAUAAAAAUAUUUAUUAUAAUUAUUAUUAAUUUUUCCUAAUGAGGAAAAAUGUAUCCAUUUAGUAUGUACACUUGUCAUUGGCUUAAUUUUGAGGAAAAAAACUAACUAAUAAUAAAUUAAAAAUUAAAAAAUAAUUAUUUUUAUUUCAAGUUAAGCCAAAAGCAUUCGUCUGCUUAUAUGCUGAAAGGUUUCAGGGUUCGUUUGGUUUCGAUCGUUUUCUCAAAUUGAGCUACUGACGCCGUUUAAAAGAAAACACUGUUACACACGUAUGUCAUGUUCAAGUCCCCAUCCCGACCACGCCCAUCCCCCACUCUGGCCAUGUGGCCAGUGUGUAUACCGGAGUCCCCAUGGUGUCCAGCCCCUCCCCUCACGUAAGCUGUGAACUCUGCGUCAGAUCUUCACUGCAUGGACGAGAGCAGGCUGGAGUCAUGGAUCAGGGAGAGAUGGAAGAAGAUUUGACAACCAUUCAUGGUCACCGUGACAGCCCUUUAAAUUCUUCAGGAAAUGGACCAGAGCUCUUCUGACUCUACAGUGAUCCUUGAACUAAGUUCCGUCCCUGAAAAGGAGGACAUAAGUGUUCCUGAACUCAAGAGAGCAGAAAGUGUAUUUGUUCAUCAACAAUGGCGAGAAAGAAGUGGAGCACCGAGGAGGUCCAGGCUGUGGAGAGCAAUCUCAUGGACAACAUCAACUCUGGCAGGGUUCCUGGUAAAGCCCAGUGUGAAGCAUCUAUCAAGGGAUCCUCAGAGGUGCUUAGGGGAAGGAGCUGGCAGGCAGUUAAGUUCUAUGUGAAGAACCGCAUUGAUACUUUAAAGCGUCUAGAAAAUAACCAAUGGAAAUCUAAAUUGUAAUCACUGAACAUAAUUCUUUUUUGCCAUCUAAGUACUUCUACAAUCCCACAACUAGGUACAGCGCUUACUUGAAUUCAGCUCAUAUCUGAGCAUGCAACGACAUUUUAUUAAGAUUGUUAAAGCUCUUUUGUUUUCAAAUUUAAUAUGUCAACAUGCUCUGACUAUUAUUUCAUUGAGUGAUGUCAUUUACAUUUUUAUCCUAAAGAACAUUGUGGUAGUCGGUCAUGGGUGGUUGGAGAAAUGGAGGUAGAGAGAGACACAGGUUGUAGAGAGAGUGAAAGGUUUGUAGAGAGAGACAGGUUUGCAGGGAGAGAGAGACAGGUAUGUAGGAAAUGAGAGAGACAGGUAUGU